AACGAACGCUGGCGGCGCGCUUAACACAUGCAAGUCGCACGGACGGUUUCGGCCGUCAGUGGCGCACGGGUGAGUAACGCGUGGGAACCUACCCUGGUGUCUGGGACAACCGCGGGAAACUGCGGCUAAUACCGGAUGUGCCCUGCGGGGCAAAGGAGCGAUCCGCACUGGGAUGGGCCCGCGUCCGAUUAGCUAGUUGGUGGGGUAACGGCCCACCAAGGCUGCGAUCGGUAGCCGGUCUGAGAGGAUGAUCGGCCACACUGGGACUGAGACACGGCCCAGACUCCUACGGGAGGCAGCAGUGGGGAAUCUUGGACAAUGGGCGCAAGCCUGAUCCAGCGACGCCGCGUGGGUGACGAAGGCCUUCGGGUUGUAAAGCCCUUUUCCCGGGGACGAUGAUGACGGUACCUGGGGAAUAAGCACCGGCUAACUCCGUGCCAGCAGCCGCGGUAAAAC
rnacentral:rRNA from 1 species